AACACAUGGGUCAUUCAGUGGGAAUUAGAACAACCUAGUGGAAAUUGCCUCUAAAUGCUGAGGAGAAACCACUGUGCCCGUGCAGUGUACUAUAGGGCUGAGCUUGGAAUAAACUUCCCUGGAUUUGCCAGUGACAGGUGGUACAGUCAGCCUGGAAAAUAAAUGAAAAUGAGGUAAAAAUGAAAUUUUGAAGGAGGCAUCUCGAGAAUGCAUGAACAGAACUGGAAAAAAAUGCCACAUGGAAUUAAUAAUGUGGGAAAAUGAGAGGUUAACUCUCUACCAAGGACAAAUUGUAAUGGGCAAUUGCAAGGGAGAAGUCUAAUAUCACCCACACAUUCCUGUCUUCUUUCCUUCAACUGUGCCCUCAUACUGGCUCCUUGAUCUGAGUUAUAUCUAUCCUAUUCAAGUAGGAGCCUCUGAAACUCUCUCUCAAUCCCUGGACAAGAUCGUAAGUAAAAAUAACAUUUCAUCCUAGGAGGCACAGAGAGAUUAGAGCCACCCUUAAGGAUACAAUGGAUAUGGAGCUGGUGGUCCCCAUCAUGUCUCCAUUCAGUUCACCAACAUAGACCCCAAAGAAAGUCAAGGGAUCCUGGAGGAUAGCUAUAAAUGACAGAAAGUAAGAUAAGGUAUUUUUGCCGGAACAAAUUAUUAAAUAAUUUGACCUCAAGUUUCUGAUAAGUGGUCAUGGAUUUGGCAAAUGCAUUUCUUUGCAGCCCAAUUACAAAAGACUGUAUCUCUGUCAUGAUGAAGACCAGGAACAAUUUUCAUUCACAUGGAAGAGACAUCAAUAUUUGCUCUCUGUCACGAUACAAUCUGAAGAAAUCCACCCUGCCUCGAUAUCUCUGGAAGGCUGAAUAUUGAUCCCCCUUCCCCACUCAAAGAUAAGACUUCAUUUAUCCAGGGGAAAGUCUCAGUAACCAUCUCAGUAUGGGCCUAUUCACCAGCUUGAAGUGUAUUUUACAUUACCUGCAACCACAAACAUGCUCAGGAGAAGCUCUUUGGCUGGUCCUAUUGCU
rnacentral:lncRNA from 10 species